rnacentral:rRNA from 1 species
GUGUCAGCAGCCGCGGUAAUACAGGGGGUGCAAACGUUGCUCGGAAUUAUUGGGCGUAAAGCGCGCGUAGGCGGUUGCUUAAGUCGGAUGUGAAAGCCCUUGGCUUAACCGAGGAAGUGCAUCCGAAACUGAGCAGCUUGAGUAUGACAGAGGGUCGCGGAAUUCCCGGUGUAGAGGUGAAAUUCGUAGAUAUCGGGAGGAACACCGGUGGCGAAGGCGGCGACCUGGGUCAAAACUGACGCUGAGGCGCGAAAGCGUGGGGAGCAAACAGGAUUAGAAACCCCAGUAGUCC